GGAAACUACAUUUCCCAUGUGGCUCAGUCAGCCUAAUGGGUGGCUGAGCCACAUGGGAGAUGUAGUUCCCAAAACAUCAGGGAGCCAAGGUUGCUGACCCCUGUCCUAGGGCAGGGGUGGGCAAACUGCGGCCCGCCACAGUU
rnacentral:snoRNA from 1 species